UACAGAGGGUGCGAGCGUUAAUCGGAAUUACUGGGCGUAAAGCGCGCGUAGGCGGCUUUGUAAGUCGGGUGUGAAAUCCCCAGGCUUAACCUGGGAACUGCAUUCGAGACUGCAUUGCUAGAGUAUGGGAGAGGGAAGUGGAAUUUCCGGUGUAGCGGUGAAAUGCGUAGAUAUCGGAAGGAACAUCAGUGGCGAAGGCGGCAUCCUGGACCGGCAUUGACGCUGAGGAGCGAAAGCUAGGGGAGCAAACGGG
rnacentral:rRNA from 1 species